UACGGGGGGGGCAAGCGUUAAUCGGAAUUACUGGGCGUAAAGCGUGCGCAGGCGGUUGUGCAAGACAGGUGUGAAAUCCCCGGGCUUAACCUGGGAACUGCACUUGGUGACUGCACAGCUGGAGUACGGCAGAGGGGGAUGGAAUUCCGGCGUGUAGCAGUGAAAUGCGUAGAUAUGACGGAGGAACACCGAUGGCGAAGGCAGUCCCCUGGGCCUGUACUGACGCUCAUGCACGAAAGCGUGGGGAGCAAACAGG
rnacentral:rRNA from 1 species